GACGAACGCUGGCGGCGUGCUUAACACAUGCAAGUCGAACGGAAAGGCACUGCUAUCGUGGGGUGCCCGAGUGGCGAACGGGUGAGUAACACGUGAGUAACCUGACCUUGACUUUGGGAUAACUUCAGGAAACUGGGGCUAAUACCGGACAGGAGCUCCUGUUGCAUGGAGGGGGUUGGAAAGUUUCGGCGGUUGGGGAUGGAUGCGCGGCUUAUCAGCUUGUUGGUGGGGUAGUGGCUUACCAAGGCUUUGACGGGUAGCCGGCCUGAGAGGGUGACCGGCCACAUUGGGACUGAGAUACGGCCCAGACUCCUACGGGAGGCAGCAGUGGGGAAUAUUGCACAAUGGGCGGAAGCCUGAUGCAGCAACGCCGCGUGCGGGAUGACGGCCUUCGGGUUGUAAACCGCUUUCGCCUGUUACGAAGCGGGAGUGACGGUAAUGGAUAAAGAAGCACCGGCUAACUACGUG
rnacentral:rRNA from 1 species